GACGAACGCUGGCGGCGUGCUUAACACAUGCAAGUCGAGCGGGGAUUAAUGAGGUGCUUGCACCGAUUUAAUUCUAGCGGCGGACGGGUGAGUAACGCGUGAGCAAUCUGUCCUACACAGGGGGAUAACACUUGGAAACAGGUGCUAAUACCGCAUAAGACCACGAGGUCGCAUGGCCACGGGGUAAAAGAUUUAUCGGUGUAGGGUGAGCUCGCGUCCCAUUAGCUAGUUGGUGAGGUAACGGCCCACCAAGGCGACGAUGGGUAGCCGACCUGAGAGGGUGAUCGGCCACAUUGGAACUGAGACACGGUCCAGACUCCUACGGGAGGCAGCAGUGGGGAAUAUUGGGCAAUGGGCGCAAGCCUGACCCAGCAACGCCGCGUGAAGGAAGAAGGUUUUCGGAUUGUAAACUUCUGUCCUAAGUGACGAAUGAAAUGACGGUAGCUUAGGAGGAAGCCCCGGGCUAACUACGUG
rnacentral:rRNA from 1 species